rnacentral:tRNA from 1 species
GCCCGGGUGGCGAAACUGGGAAACGCGGGCGAUUUAAAAUCGCCUGGCCUCUGGCCAUGCAGGUUCGAAUCCUGCCCCGGGCA